CCGGGCCACCUCCGCACAGCCCCACGCUCUCCCUGACCCUCCCUGAGCGCCGGCGACCCCCCGCUGACCGGCGUCCUCGCCCCCAGAUCCCAACGACUGCCUUCCCGAUCCCUGCCACAGCCGCGGCCGCUGCUACGACCUGGUCAACGACUUCUAUUGCGCCUGUGACGACGGCUGGAAGGGCAAGACCUGCCACUCGCGCGAGUUCCAGUGUGAUGCCUACACCUGUAGCAACGGUGGCACGUGCUAUGACAGCGGGGACACCUUCCGCUGUGCCUGCCCCCCGGGCUGGAAGGGCAGCACCUGCAACAUAGCCGAGAACAGCAGCUGCCUGCCCAACCCCUGCGUGAACGGGGGCACCUGCGUGGGCAGCGGGGACUCCUUCUCCUGCAUAUGCCGGGAUGGCUGGGAGGGCCGCACCUGCACGCACAGUGAGCUCGUGGG